UACGGAGGGUGCGAGCGUUGUCCGGAAUCACUGGGCGUAAAGGGCGCGUAGGUGGCGCGAGAAGUCAACGGUGAAAGCCUGGGGCUCAACCCCGGGUCGGCCGUCGAUACUCUUGGGCUCGAGCACUGUAGAGGCAGGUGGAAUUCCGGGGUGUAGCGGUGGAAUGCGUAGAGAUCCGGAAGAACACCGGUGGCGAAGGCGGCCUGCUGGGCAGUUGCUGACACUGAGGCGCGACAGCGUGGGGAGCAAACAGG
rnacentral:rRNA from 1 species